AUGCAAGUCGAGCGGUAGAGAAGGAGCUUGCUUCUUCUUGAGAGCGGCGGACGGGUGAGUAAUGCCUAGGAAUCUGCCUGGUAGUGGGGGACAACGUUUCGAAAGGAACGCUAAUACCGCAUACGUCCUACGGGAGAAAGUGGGGGAUCUUCGGACCUCACGCUAUCAGAUGAGCCUAGGUCGGAUUAGCUUGUAGGUGAGGUAAUGGCUCACCUAGGCAACGAUCCGUAACUGGUCUGAGAGGAUGAUCAGUCACACUGGAACUGAGACACGGUCCAGACUCCUACGGGAGGCAGCAGUGGGGAAUAUUGGACAAUGGGCGAAAGCCUGAUCCAGCCAUGCCGCGUGUGUGAAGAAGGUCUUCGGAUUGUAAAGCACUUUAAGUUGGGAGGAAGGGUUGUAGCUUAAUACGCUGCAACCUUGACGUUACCAACAGAAUAAGCACCGGCUAACUCUGUGCCAGCAGCCGCGGUAAUACAGAGGGUGCAAGCGUUAAUCGGAAUUACUGGGCGUAAAGCGCGCGUAGGCGGCUUGAUAAGAUGGGUGUGAAAUCCCCGGGCUUAACCUGGGAACUGCCUCCAUAACUGUCUGGCUAGAGUACAGUAGAGGGUGGUGGA
rnacentral:rRNA from 1 species